UACAACUGCUGAGUCUGAGCUCUGAUCUGAAUGGCCUCUAUCAGUGUGAAGCGCCUAACACAUAUGGAAGUAAACACGGUCAGCUCUAUGUGCAUGUGGCAUCAGGAGCAUGCUCUGCUGCUUGGGCCUUAUUUGGUGUUUUGCUUUUCCUGAAUGUUGUUGGGGCUGCAGCAUGGUACUUUUAUAAAAAUGGAUGUUCUCAAAGGAGGUCUUUAAAUCAACAUGGUGGCAAGCAGCAUGACACAAAACUUCACCGGAGUGUGAGAAACGAUGAUCACGGACCAGAGGAAGAAGAUCUACAGAGAGAUCAAGAGGAAUCUCUCUGACAGCAAAGAUGAACAUUAUUUGGACUGAAGGCUCCACCAACAUGUCAUUCUAAAGUCAGCUGGUAAAUAAACAGAUGAAGAACAGAUGCCUCUGCCUGAACUGGACAUUAUACGUGUUACGUGAACCUGCAACAGGGUCUGGACCACAGACAGAUUAACAUAAAAGCACGGGAUGUCACACAAACACAGGAACAUGACCGCAGGAACAAAGGGUAACAAAACA